AACGUAGGAGACAAACGUUAUCCGGAGUUACUGGGCGUAAAGGGCGUGUAGGCGGUUAGUUAAGUCUGGCGUGAAAGCUCUCGGCUAAACCGGGAGAGGUCGUUGGAUACUGGCUGACUAGAGGACGGUAGAGGCGUGUGGAAUUCCGGGUGUAGUGGUGAAAUGCGUAGAGAUCCGGAGGAACACCAGUGGCGAAGGCGACACGCUGGGCCGAUAUUGACGCUGAGGAGCGAAAGCGUGGGGAGCGAACAGG
rnacentral:rRNA from 1 species